rnacentral:snoRNA from 1 species
AUCCUUCAGGUUCUUUCAUGUGAUGAGUGGGGUUGUUCAUGCGCAUGCGUGAGAUGUGCCGUCCCAAGUGUUACGACGGGGCACAGAACCCAUCUGACC